GACGAACGCUGGCGGCGUGCCUAACACAUGCAAGUAGAACGCUGAAGGCGGACCUUGCUCUUCUGGAUGAGUUGCGAACGGGUGAGUAACGCGUAGGUAACCUGCCUGGUAGCGGGGGAUAACUUUUGGAAACGAUAGCUAAUACCGCAUAAGAGUAGCUGUUGCAUGACGUGUACUUAAAAGGUGCAAUUGCAUCACUACGAGAUGCACCUGCGUUGUAUUGGGUAGUUGGUGGGGUAACGGCUUACCUAGGCGACGAUACAUGGCCGACCUGGGAGGGGGAGCGGCCACGCUGGGACGGAGGCACGGCCCAGACGGCUACGGGAGGCAGCAGUAGGGAAUCCGCGGCGAUGGACGGAAGUCUGACCGAGAAACGCCGCGUGAGUGAAGAAGGAUCGCGGAGCGUAAAGUGCUGUUGUACGGGAAGAACGAGGGUGAGGGUGGAAAGGACGCGCUGUGAAGGUAUCUGACCAAAAAGGCACGGCUAACUACGUG
rnacentral:rRNA from 1 species